rnacentral:piRNA from 1 species
UAGUAUGUUUCCUGACUAUCUCCCUAGAUC